rnacentral:rRNA from 1 species
ACGGAGGGGGCUAGCGUUGUUCGGAAUUACUGGGCGUAAAGCGCGCGUAGGCGGAUGCGUAAGUUGGGAGUGAAAUCCCGAGGCUUAACCUCGGAACUGCUUUCAAAGCUGCACAACUAGAGUUCGGUAGAGGAGAGUGGAAUUCCUAGUGUAGAGGUGAAAUUCAUAGAUAUUAGGAGGAACAUCAGAGGCGAAGGCGACUCUCUGGGCCGAUACUGACGCUGAGGUGCGAAAGCGUGGGGAGCAAACAG